rnacentral:lncRNA from 1 species
UCUUCUUGCUUAGCGUUCACGUCUGGAGCAGCGAAGGGGUGCUUUGACCCCCGCCGGUUGCUUUCUGGUCCUGGUUUUUAUUCUUAAUAUUUCACCAUCCCGGACUCAUUGUCUUCCUGGGGACCGGGGCUGUGGCGGUGAUACAGGACUGGCAAGGAAUGCCAGCCAGCAGACAAAGAACAGAUCCUCUUCUGCAGGUGGCAGGACUUUAAUGCCUAAUGCGUCUAGAAAAGAAGUAUUUAAUAGCUGACAGUCUUGUCAUUCUCUUUUCUAUACGUGACCCGUCCCUACAGAGAGAGAGAGAGAGAGAGAGAGAGAGAGAGAGAAAUUCCAGGCUUAGGAAAGUGUUUGGUAGUUGCAUUUUAACUAGGCUAGAAGUAAAACUCUGAGAGAUUAAGUAUGGUCUUAAUCUCUUAUUCCUACCUAACAACACUUUCCUAAGUAAGUGCUAGAGAAAAGCUCGGGGUCUCAAACAGGCCACCACUCCAACUGACGCCCCCGGGGACAAGGCAAACUUUAGUUGAUCAAGUGGGCGCUCUCAGGAAAACGUGGACACAGAUAGGAAAUGCAUUUGGUUUUGUUGGUGGUUGGCUGGUUGGAUUUUUUUUAUGAGGCAGUGUUUCCACGUGUAGCCUUGGCUAUCCUGGAACUCUCCCUGUCGGUCAGGCUGGCCUCUGCCUCUGUCUCCACCGCCUACCAAUGCAUUUGGCUUUUAUUUUAGCUCAGGUGGUGACUGCCUUUCCCCACUAGUUGGUGCCAUACCUGGAAGUCUUAAUUCAGUUUAGCUAGUCUGAAAAUAAUUGGUACAUAGAACAUGAAGGAGGGGGCGGUGGUGCACACUUUUUAAUCCCAACGUGAGGGAGGCAGAGGCAGACUCAGGCACAACUCUGAGUUUGAGGCCAUCCAGCCUGGUCUACAGAGUGAAUUCCAGGAUAGCUAGGAUUACACCGGGAAAAAAAAGAGAAGGAAAGCGUUAGGGAAAAGGGUCACUGUUUUGAGGAGAGAAGGGUUACACUACUCUAGGUGAUCAAAUUACUGGGAAAGAGGGCUUUGCCAUUUGUGUAAACAGGUUUAAACUGGAGGGCAGCGUCAAGCCUUAACGAGGUGGGAGAGAAAACUAUUUGAAUUCCUUGUUGGUUCUAAACACAAGUUUUAUGUUAUUUGCUAGGAGAUGCAUCUGAUAUUUCUUUCAGCAGGUUUGUUAAUCAUCAAAUUAAUGUGAAGCUUGCUGUUGUCCCUUCUUCAGGAGCCUUGCAGGCUGUGUUGAGUGGAGCCAACAUAGGUCCACUGGAGCCAUUGUUAACUGAGAAUGUGGGCAGAUAUGGAUUAGACAGUGGUGGAGAUAAUUCCAAAUCCUGGGUUUCUAGAACCUUCCCUCUUGUGGCACUUCUUGUCUCUAAACCAGAGAGCAGUAAGACACUAAAAUCGUGAGCAGGUAACUAAUGUUAACCACCCUGGCUUUAAGUGGUCUUGGCUGGUAACCACGCUGGGAAGAGCUGUCAGUUUAUCCCUGUUAAUAAAAGGACAGAGAAAGGGGCUCCAGCAUGAAAGUACUGCCUUAUCCAACCAUAUACAAUCCACUCUCUUUUCCUUAUCCAACCAUAUACAAUACACUCUUUUUUCAUUUCUUUAAAUCAUUUUAGAAAUGAUUUAUAAACACUUAUUCAUUGAUAGUAGUACACACAACCUUUCAGAACUGGAAGAAAAAAAAAACCCAUAAAGACAAUAUUUUAUAGCAGCUCUCUAGCCCCAUCGUGGAUGUUUUGUGUUUUUGCCAAUUCAAUUACAUAAGGACUUUUCCCUCCAGCUUUUUAAAUGAAAGCUUUAAAGCAGAUGUGAAGAGAGGAGCGUGCCUUGGCACACUCCCCAACAUACUCCAGCCACACUCGGCCACGUCUGGAUGUCCUG